rnacentral:tRNA from 3 species
GCGCCUAUAGCUCAGUUGGUAGAGCGGUCGCCUUAUACGCGAUUGGUCCUAGGUUCGAGUCCUAGUGGGCGCA